rnacentral:rRNA from 1 species
AACGAACGCUGGCGGCAGGCUUAACACAUGCAAGUCGAACGCUCCGCAAGGAGAGUGGCAGACGGGUGAGUAACACGUGGGAACGUACCCUUUACUACGGAACAACUCCGGGAAACUGGAGCUAAUACCGUAUGUGCCCUUUGGGGGAAAGAUUUAUCGGUAAAGGAUCGGCCCGCGUUGGAUUAGCUAGUUGGUGGGGUAAAGGCCUACCAAGGCGACGAUCCAUAGCUGGUCUGAGAGGAUGAUCAGCCACAUUGGGACUGAGACACGGCCCAAACUCCUACGGGAGGCGGCAGUGGGGAAUAUUGGACAAUGGGCGCAAGCCUGAUCCAGCCAUGCCGCGUGUGUGAUGAAGGCCUAGGGUUGUAAAGCACUUUCACCGGAGAAGAUAAUGACGGUAUCCGGAGAAGAAGCCCCGGCUAACUACGUGCCAGCCGCCGCGGUAA